GAUGAACGCUGGCGGCGUGCCUAAUACAUGCAAGUCGAGCGAGGGGCGGACGGGUGAGUAAGACGUGUUAACCUACCUAUAACUCUGGAACAACUGCGGGUAACCGGAGCUAAUAGCGGCUACUGAUUUAUGGAUCUGCGAUGCAUUAGCUAGUGGGUAAGGUAACGGCUUACCAAGGCAACGAUCCCUAGCUGGUCUGAGAGGAUGACCGGCCACACUGGAACUGAGACACGGUCCAGACUCCUACGGGAGGCAGCAGUGGGGAAUAUUGCACAAUGGACGCAAGCCUGAUGCAGCCAUGCCGCGUGUGUGAAGAAGGUCUGCGGGUUGUAAAGCUCUUUCAGCGAGGAGGCGUUACUCGCAGAAGAAGCACCGGCUAACUCCGUGCCAGCAGCCGCGGUAAUAC
rnacentral:rRNA from 1 species